CUACGUGCCAGCAGCCGCGGUAAUACGGAAGGUCCAGGCGUUAUCCGGAUUUAUUGGGUUUAAAGGGAGCGUAGGCGGAUUGUUAAGUCAGCGGUUAAAGGGUGUGGCUCAACCAUACAUUGCCGUUGAAACUGGCGAUCUUGAGUGCAGACAGGGAUGCCGGAAUUCGUGGUGUAGCGGUGAAAUGCUUAGAUAUCACGAAGAACUCCGAUCGCGAAGGCAGGUGUCCGGGCUGCAACUGACGCUGAGGCUCGAAAGUGUGGGUAUCAAACAGGAUUAGAUACCCUGGUAGUCCACACAGUAAACGAUGUAUACUCGCGGUUUGCGAUAGACAGUAAGCCGCCAAGCGAAAGCAUUAAGUAUACCACCUGGGGAGUACGCCGGCAACGGCGAAACUCAAAGGAAUUGACGGGGGCCCGCGCAAGCGGAGGAACAUGUGGUUUAAUUCGAUGAUACGCGAGGAACCUUACCCGGGCUUGAACUAACGGUGACGAAUCUAGAGAUAG
rnacentral:rRNA from 1 species